UACGUAGGUGGCGAGCGUUGUCCGGAUUUACUGGGCGUAAAGGGCGUGCAGGCGGUUUGUUAAGUGCAGGGUGAAAGCUCCCGGCUCAACUGGGAGAGGUCCUUGCAUACUGGCGAACUCGAGGGAGGCAGAGGAAAGUGGAAUUCCCGGUGUAGUGGUGAUAUGCGUAGAUAUCGGGAGGAACACCUGUGGCGAAGGCGGCUUUCUGGGCCUUACCUGACGCUGAGACGCGAAAGCGUGGGGAGCAAACGGG
rnacentral:rRNA from 1 species